CGGACUUCCAAUCAGUGGAAGCUGGGGACGGCCCGUUGCCCUGCGCUUGGAGGCAGCCAUCUGUCAGCUGACGCUCAGUCGCCACGGCAAUCAGAACGCUCUGCGGCGGGUCCAAUCUGUUCCACCACAGUCUCUCUACAGUGAAAUUGGCGGCAUCCCAAAUCCCCCCUGCUGUCAAUGCUGGAUAUUGCUCCUGUGAUGUGGAGGCUACUUGGUUCAGCCCAAUCGAUGUGGAUACACAGAGAAGACAGAUGCGGAGGGGUGUAACUGCUGAAAAUGGGAUGGAGGAAAGGAGCCGGUGGAAGUGGAAGAUGAAAACAUAAAAGGCCUGUCUCGGUGAGAGAAGGGAGAGAGAAAAGGCUCAUCAUUUUGCCCUCCAUUUCUUCUCACGGUGCUAUAAAAAGAGAGAUGAAAUCAGAAGGCUGUCAGGUAAAAGGAGAGUAAAACCUUUGCCUCUUAGCUGAAAUGGACCAAGGAGAGAAAUGGAGAGGAGAGAGGCAGAGCGCCCUGCAUCACUUCUCCUUCACGGCAAAAAGCUCUCAACUGUCAAGAGAACAAAAAACAUCUUGCAUCAGGAUUUUACAGGCCGAGCCUUUCAAAGUGGUUCGAAGCUUUUUACUGCGGCACAGUCAACUUUUAGCAGACGUCAAGGGAAAAAUGUUCCUCAUGAAUUGGGUGAAAUUGCUCUUGAAUUGAAAAUGAGACAUGCUGCGUUUAUAUUUUUUGGCAUUGCGUCAAAAUGGAGGCAAAUAUAAAAACAUAAAAAACAGAGGUAUAUCUUGACUUUCAGUGUAUCAUCUUGUUUCAUGUCAAGGUAAAACAACUUUGGAGGUCGAGGUUCAUGGUUUUGAAGUGU